AACCUGUUUGGCAGCAGAGGUGUGGUGUAAGCCUAUCAUCUCUUUUUGAGAAGCUGGAUAUGGAAAAACAGCAGCACAGUAUCUCAACCUCUCGUCACACAUGUGUAAGCUGGAGUUGUAAAGCAGUCCACCUCUAUCCUCCCAGGCCAGCAGUGACCCAACGAAAGGAUCGAUGGCAGCCUGACAGUGGUGCCUCCCUCAAAUAAAGAAGCAUUUCUGGAUGCUCCUCUCUGGUUCUGCUCCAGCACUCUCUGACCUCGAGGAAAAGGAUCCCUUUGUAUUUUUUAAAAAGUGUUGGCUUUGGCCAUGUAAUCAUGGAUUGACUUGUGAUCUUGCUUUUGGAUGAAAUAGGCCCCCUUCUCAUGCACUGAUUCUUUGCUAUUAAACACUUCAUAGAGGCUAA